UGUGUGUGUGUGUGUGUAUGUGUUAGAAAGUCUAUGAGAGUUACUUAAUAAAGUUUUGAAGUGUAAAGGUGAUUUUUUUUAAAAAAAGUAUUUUUUAAAGAAAUGUUGUGAAAUCUUUUAUCAGGAUGUUACUAACCUUCUUUGGGAAGAAAUUUUUUCUAGUGUGUG